GAGAGAAGGUGUAUGUAGUGGCUAUGCCUUAACAAUGGGCACAUCUGGUUGCGAACCAUUUGGUGAGUCCUAGAUGGAUUGUAGGUUUUAAACUUCCUCAAGUUCAACAAACCUCUCAUUGCCUUCUUCUUGGAUAAACUCUUUCUCCAAGAAAAUAGCAUGCCUACCAACAAACACCUUUUGUUGAGUAGGGUUAUAGA
rnacentral:lncRNA from 1 species